rnacentral:lncRNA from 1 species
UGAACUCAAACAGUAUUACAGAGCAAUAGUGAUAAAAACUGCAUGGUAUUGGUACAGAGACAGACAGAUAGACCAAUGGAAUAGAAUUGAAGACCCAGAAAUGAACCCACACACCUAUGGUCACUUGAUUUUUGACAAAGGAGCCAAAACCAUCCAAUGGAAAAAAGAUAGCAUUUUCAGCAAAUGGUGCUGGUUCAACUGGAGGGCAACAUGUAGAAGAAUGCAGAUCGAUCCAUGCUUAUCACCCUGUACAAAGCUUAAGUCCAAGUGGAUCAAGGACCUCCACAUCAAACCAGACACACUCAAACUAAUAGAAGAAAAA